rnacentral:lncRNA from 1 species
AGGUGAUGGACUAUUUAUCAACUUGCUCCAUAAUCCGUUUAGAGUUAAAGAGGACCACAGAAACUCCACCUCCAGGUGUCACAGGUUACUAAACACAAUAACUAAAACAAAUUAAAAAACUUAUCUCAGAUUCCCUCCUGGAGUCUACUGCCUUGCUUAUACAGUUGGACGACAAAGUCAGCCACUGCCUGAAUUCAUAUUCUGCACUAUGUGAUUCAGGAAACAACGUUAUGCUUCUCCUAUGUUCCCAAUAUGCUGGACAUCAGGUGUGGGUAAUAACAGUACCAUGAUUUUCCUUUGGAGACUCCAAAUCCUCAGUCCAAAUGACUUUAUUCCACUUAUAACUCCAUAGAAGCCAUGAAAUCCAGACCUCAGUACAGACGGUGACUUCCAUGAACUUAGCUAAAAUUUUUGGACAAAGUUUACUCCCUCUGGAUUCUAAAUGGAUAGGGUAAUGUUGCUGGCUCAGUGAAGCACCUUCUGAGCCUACUGAAGCAGGAGCCGAUGCUGAGGCAGAACUGAAAGAUGCAGAGGCAGAGUCCGGAUAACACUGUCUGAACACCUGAAAACACACUGAACACUGAUGAAUUUUACUGUUCCGUUUUAGCCCAAGGUCAGUAAGCAUCUUCUGUAAAGGGCUAGAUUGCAAAUAUUUUAGGUUUUAUGGAACAUAAGGUUUGGGUGCAACUAUUAAGCUCCAGUGUCGGAUAUGGCUGUGUUGCAAUUAAACUUGAUUUACAAAAACA